ACGAACGCUGGCGGCGUGCUUAACCCAUGCAAGUCGAACGCGCCUGUCCUCUGGGUUUCUGGGGGUGGGUGAGUGGCGAACGGGUGAGUAACACGUGAGUAACCUGCCCCCUUCUUCGGGAUAACGGUCUGAAAGGGCUGCUAAUACCGGGUAUUCACUGGUCUCCGCAUGGGGUCUGGUGGAAAGGUUUUUUUCUGGUGGGGGAUGGGCUCGCGGCCUAUCAGCUUGUUGGUGGGGUGAUGGCCCACCAAGGCUUUGACGGGUAGCCGGCCUGAGAGGGUGACCGGUCACAUUGGGACUGAGAUACGGCCCAGACUCCUACGGGAGGCAGCAGUGGGGAAUAUUGCACAAUGGGCGCAAGCCUGAUGCAGCGACGCCGCGUGAGGGAUGGAGGCCUUCGGGUUGUGAACCUCUUUCGCCCGUGGUCAAGCCGCGACGUGGGUCGUGGUGAGGGUAGUGGGUAAAGAAGCGCCGGCUAACUACGUG
rnacentral:rRNA from 1 species